rnacentral:rRNA from 1 species
AAUACUGUUUGAUCCUGGCUCAGGAUGAACGCUGGCGGCGUGCCUAACACAUGCAAGUCGAGCGAUCUCUUCGGAGAGAGCGGCGGACGGGUGAGUAACGCGUGGGUAACCUGCCCUGUACACACGGAUAACAUACCGAAAGGUAUACUAAUACGGGAUAACGUAUAAAAGUCGCAUGGCUUUUGUAUCAAAGCUCCGGCGGUACAGGAUGGACCCGCGUCUGAUUAGCUAGUUGGUAAGGUAAAGGCUUACCAAGGCAACGAUCAGUAGCCGACCUGAGAGGGUGAUCGGCCACACUGGAACUGAGACACGGUCCAGACUCCUACGGGAGGCAGCAGUGGGGAAUAUUGCACAAUGGGCGAAAGCCUGAUGCAGCAACGCCGCGUGAGCGAUGAAGGCCUUCGGGUCGUAAAGCUCUGUCCUCAAGGAAGAUAAUGACGGUACUUGAGGAGGAAGCCCCGGCUAACUACGUGCCAGCAGCCGCGGUAAUACGUAGGGGGCUAGCGUUAUCCGGAAUUACUGGGCGUAAAGGGCGCGUAGGUGGUUUUUUAAGUCAGAAGUGAAAGGCUACGGCUCAACCGUAGUAAGCUUUUGAAACUAGAGAACUUGAGUGCAGGAGAGGAGAGUAGAAUUCCUAGU